rnacentral:rRNA from 1 species
UACGUAGGGGGCAAGCGUUGUCCGGAAUCAUUGGGCGUAAAGAGCGCGUAGGCGGCUAGAUAAGUCCGGUGUGAAAGUCACAGGCUCAACCUGUGAAUGCCGCUGGAAACUGUCUGGCUAGAGUCCGGAAGGGGCGAGUGGAAUUCCUGGUGUAGCGGUGAAAUGCGCAGAUAUCAGGAAGAACACCAAUGGCGAAGGCAGCUCUCUGGGACGGUACUGACGCUGAGACGCGAAAGCGUGGGGAGCAAACAGG